GAUGAACGCUGGCGGCGUGCCUAAUACAUGCAAGUCGAGCGAACGGACGAGAAACUUGCUUCUCUGAUGUUAGCGGCGGACGGGUGAGUAACACGUGGAUAACCUACCUAUAAGACUGGGAUAACUUCUGGAAACCGGAGCUAAUACCGGAUAAUAUUUUGAACCGCAUGGUUCAAAAGUGAAAGACGGUCUUGCUGUCACUUAUAGAUGGAUCCGCGCUGCAUUAGCCAGUUUGACUGAUAACGGUUUACCAAGGCACCGAUUCAUAACCGACCUGAGAGCAUGAUCAGCCACACUGGAACGGCAGCGCGAUCCAAACUCCUACGGGAGGAAGCAGUAGGGACUCUUCCGCAACGCUCCAAGACCUGACCGAGCAACGCCGCGUGAGUCAUAAAAGUCUUCGGAUCGUAAAGCUCUAUUAUGAGGGUAGAACAUAUGUGUGAGGAACUUUGCACAUCUCGACCGUACCUAAUCAGAAAGCCACGACUAACUACGUU
rnacentral:rRNA from 1 species